UCCGCCCCGACCAGGAGCUGCGCCCUUCACAGCGGGGCUUGCCCGCCACACCCACCUCCGGAUGACAACCUCCUUUUAAGAGAGGAGGGAACUGAGGCUCAGAAAAAGCCUGGAAGGAGGCCACAGGGGCGGGGCGCUCACCUGUACAGGUAGCCCAGCUGGAGGAGAUGCAACAGCGCCAGGUACCGGCCAGGGGGCUUCGGCGCGAGAGGGAUGGAGACGUCGGAGCGCAGCCAGACCCAGCUGAAGAGCUGCAGCGCGACCGAGGCGAGGCCCAACAGCGCCAGCACCAGCGCGGCCCACAGGGAGAACACUGACUGUCCAGGGGCUGGCCCACCUGGAGCGUGGCAGAGCCUGAAUUGGGACCCGAAUCAGUUUGCCUUGCACACCCAUGUUCACUAUCGGCCACAGUGGAGAGGCAGGGGCCAGUGUUCACAGCAACUCUGAUGAGGAACCCAGGUGCGCGUGACAAGAAGAACUCAUGACAUGGAACCAAAAUCUCAAAUUUCAGCCUCUUCCUCCUCUCCUACUGUUUGCUUCAGCUUAUUUAUCUUUAUAACAGGGAGUGUUCUGCUUGACCCAUGUUGCUACCAUUCUCAAAUAAGAUAAGGCCUUGUUUCACCUCUUCCAAUUUGUUCUCAUUUUAACAUCUCUACAAGUGGGCCGUGUCUUACCAUUGAGGCCAAGAGAGCGCUGUGUCAUACUUUAGGACAGCGUUUUUUUUUCUUAGUGAUACAUAAAACCAUGAAACAUCUUACAGUCAAUGAAUUUAGGAAAUUCAAUACAUGUGCAAGCAUGUUAUGAACUAUAAAAUCUUAUCAUUUACACUUGUAUGUUAAAUCAUAAUAAUAAAGCAUUUUCUUCUCCAUUAUUUCACUUUUAUUCCUGAAGCCGCAUGUGGAGCAGAGAAAAGAGCGCUCAGAGUAAGAUCUGAAUUUGAACCCCUCCCUAGGAACUGACUAGCGUUGACCCAUAGAUUUGUUAUCUAUACACCGGGAAUAAUACCUAUAGUUACCAUGGGGGAGAGUGCCCUGGU